rnacentral:rRNA from 1 species
AUUGAACGCUGGCGGCAUGCUUUACACAUACAAGUCGAACGGUAACAGGCCGCAAGGUGCUGACGAGUGGCGAACGGGUGAGUAAUGCAUCGGAACGUGCCCAGUCGUGGGGGAUAACUACUCGAAAGAGUAGCUAAUACCGCAUACGAUCUAUGGAUGAAAGCGGGGGACCGUAAGGCCUCGCGCGAUUGGAGCGGCCGAUGUCAGAUUAGGUAGUUGGUGGGGUAAAGGCUCACCAAGCCAACGAUCUGUAGCUGGUCUGAGAGGACGACCAGCCACACUGGGACUGAGACACGGCCCAGACUCCUACGGGAGGCAGCAGUGGGGAAUUUUGGACAAUGGGCGCAAGCCUGAUCCAGCAAUGCCGCGUGCAGGAAGAAGGCCUUCGGGUUGUAAACUGCUUUUGUACGGAACGAAACGGCUCUGGUUAAUACCCGGGGCUAAUGACGGUACCGUAAGAAUAAGCGCCGGCUAACUACGUG